GGAAGGGUGUUUAUUAGUGAGGGAGCAGUCUUCAAAAAAUCUUACUCCAAGAGCUGCUGAGAUUCAAAACCCACGGACCAAGAUCAAAUGCGUGCGCUCAUUAUAUUCCAAUCAAGGCAUGCAUUGAAUCAUGCGCCUUGUAUGGAAGGAUUGAAUCCCAGGAUUCGAUCCUUGAUUGAAGAGAGUUAUUAAAAUAAAUCAAGUAGACCUUGAUAAUUUAAUAGAAAAAUUAUCUGUGACAGGACACACGUUUCACGAAGUAUGUAUUUCUCUAUGAUUCAAUUGUUUUUAUGUUCACGUUUUCCCCUUAAAUCAUUUCGAUUCGUGUUUGGUAAAUUAGUUUAUCGAAUCAAAUACAAAUCAAUUAAAACUCUUGGAGCUUCAGAUUCGGAUUUGCAGUGCAGUUGGCAUCCAACAUUAUCUGAAGCCUACGCUUGAAGCAAAAAGAAUUGAACUACCAUCAGACCUCGGAAAUUGAUGAAUUUAUGAAUGAAUGGAAUUAUUUGCUCUGUUGAAAUUUUAUUAUAAAUAAAAUAAUGUGAAAGCGUUGUAGAAAUAA